UACGUAGGGUGCGAGCGUUAAUCGGAAUUACUGGGCGUAAAGCGUGCGCAGGCGGUUUUGUAAGCCAGAUGUGAAAUCCCCGGGCUUAACCUGGGAGUGGCAUUUGGGACUGCAAGGCUGGAGUGACGGCAGGAGGAGACUGGAAUUCCUGGUGUAGCAGUGAAAUGCGUAGAGAUCAGGAGGAAUACCGAUGGCGAAGGCAGGUCUCUGGGCUGACACUGACGCUCAUGCACGAAAGCGUGGGGAGCAAACAGG
rnacentral:rRNA from 1 species